GCCUGGGUAGCUCAGUUGGUUAGAGUGUUGUCCCAAUAUACCAAGGUUGUGGGUUUGAUUCCCAGUCAGGGCA
rfam:Myotis brandtii contig229248, whole genome shotgun sequence.